UCCGAAUUGGUGUAGUGGCUAACAUUUGACGCUCUCAAAUCUUCGGACAGCAGAACCGUCAAGCCCGGGGUUCGAUUCCCCGAUUCGGAG